GAUGAACGCUAGCGGCAGGCCUAACACAUGCAAGUCGAGGGGUAGAGGAAGCUUGCUUCCUUGAGACCGGCGCACGGGUGCGUAACGCGUAUGCAAUCUGCCUUGUACAGAGGGAUAGCCCAGAGAAAUUUGGAUUAAUACCUCAUAGUAUUAUUGAAUGGCAUCAUUUAAUAAUUAAAGUUCCAACGGUACAAGAUGAGCAUGCGUCCUAUUAGCUAGUUGGUGUGGUAACGGCAUACCAAGGCUACGAUAGGUAGGGGUCCUGAGAGGGAGAUCCCCCACACUGGUACUGAGACACGGACCAGACUCCUACGGGAGGCAGCAGUGAGGAAUAUUGGACAGUGGGCGCAAGCCUGAUCCAGCCAUGCCGCGUGCAGGAAGACGCAUCUAUGGUGUGUAAACUGCUUUUGUACGGGAAGAAACACUCCCUCGUGAGGGAGCUUGACGGUACCGUAAGAAUAAGGAUCGGCUAACUCCGUGCCAGCAGCCGCAGUAAAAC
rnacentral:rRNA from 1 species